GAGAAGUCAACCACCACCGUUAAGGCGGUGGUGACUGUGCUGCAGACGGUGGGUGGGGCCCUCACCCAUCUCGGAUUGAACCGUGGGCUAGACGAUAUAGCCGAUGUGCUCGGUAAAACCCUUCUGGUCGAGCUGGUCGCUGCGGAGCUCGAUCCUAGUAAGUAUACAUUUUAUACAUAAUAUAUGUUAUAUAUACAACUUUGUAUAUUGCAUGAAACUCGCUGAUAUGAUUCAAAAUAAAAUAUCAUUUUAGUAUUUAAUUUCAUUGAUAUAAGUAUAUAUGUAUUAGAAUGUAUACAUAUAUUACUAUAUAAAAUAAAAUAAGAAAUAAACCUCCAAUUUCACGGUUUGGUUUUCUUCUAAACAUCAAGAAUCGGGACUGGAGAAAGCUAGCAUAAAGUCGUAUGCACGUAAAACGGGAAAGGAUGACAACGAGACCUACUACGAGGCUAGUUUCGAGAUUCCCGAGGAUUUUGGAGAGGUGGGUGCGGUGUUAAUUGAGAACGAACAUCACAAGGAAAUGUUCUUGAAGAACAUCGUCUUUAAUGGCUUCUCGACGACGACGACAAACGACUCACUCGAAGUAACGUGUAACACCUGGAUUCAUCCCAAGUUUGAUAACCCUGAGAAGAGGGUCUUUUUCACUAACAAGGUUAGCAUAAUUGUUUUUAUAUUAUGUUCAUUAUUUUUUUAUUAUAUAUAUAUAUAUAUAUAUAUAUAUAGGUGGUUCUUAAUAUUUUUUUCAAAAUAUAAAUGACAACGAUUGUAUUUAUUGUGGAAAAUGGUGAUGGUUACAUAUUUUGUCUCACAUUUACAUGUGCAUGUGAUAAUUUCCAAUUGUUUCUCAAAGAUACAUCUUGCACUAUAUAUAAUACAAAGUAUUUAUAGGGGUGAAAAUGGGCUGGAUCGAAUCCAAAUUGGCACUUUUGGAAAAAUCUAUUUUUUUUUUAAGUGAAAAGCUAAUUACGAAUUUGUUCUAAAGCAAAAAGAAUUGGAAUAAUCGAAAACCGGAAUUUCAGUAUUUAGAAUGAAAAAACAUAUUACUAAAUUAGAACUUUUCGGAUAAGAAUCUCCUCUGAAUUCGAAAUUUCCAAUGUUUAGUCUCAAUAACAUAAAAUAUGUGAUAAUAUUGAUAUUAUAAGCGUAAUUUUCGGAAUUUAGUCGAAAAACUACAGAAAUAUUUUCGGCAAUAAAAUCAGAAGAAUUCGAAAAUUCGGUUCCAAUUUCCACAAUUUCAAGUGUUACUCAAAAAAUACAACUGUACUGCAUGUCUGUUAAUCAUGGUGAAUGAUGAGUGCAGUCAUAUUUGCCAUCACAAACUCCGACUGCUCUGGAAAGAUACAGAGAGAAAGAGCUCGAAAUUCUAAGAGGCGACGGCCAAGGGGAGCGCAAAACCGCCGACAGAAUAUACGAUUACGAUGUAUACAACGAUCUCGGCGAUCCAGAUUCCGACGUUGAUUUGGCCCGACCCGUUCUCGGUGGGCCCGACCAUCCCUACCCUCGCCGCUGCAGAACUGGCCGCCCUAGAACUGAGAAAGGUAAGAGACGCUUAUUUUUUUCUCAUGCACAGCAUCUGUUUGAUAAAUUGCUGAGCUGAGUUUUUUUUUCAUGUAUGUGCAUGUAAACUGGCAGAUCCAUUGUCCGAGUCAAGGAGCUCCAGCGUUUACGUGCCGAGAGAUGAAGCAUUUUCAGAGGUGAAGCAGAUGACAUUCUCUGCAAAAACUGUGUACUCUGUUCUUCACGCGCUAGUUCCGUCGGUGCAGACUUCGAUCAUUGACACCGAUCUCGGAUUCCCACACUUCACAGCUAUAGACACGCUAUUCAACGAAGGAUACGAGCUUCCGGAUAGUUCAACCGUUGUGUCGUUACGCAACAUUAUACCCAGGCUUGUGAAGGCUGUCUCCGACACUGGGAAUAGUGCUCUGCGCUUUGAGACCCCUGAAUUUAUCGACAGUAUAAUUUCAAGAUCUCUUUGCAAAAUGAGAUUGUUUCCUGAUUUUUUUUGCGAAGAUGGUGUUUUGCAUGCAUUGAACUGCUUCUUGUUGUUAUUCCAGGAGAUAAGUUUGCUUGGUUUAGGGACACUGAAUUUGGAAGACAAACUCUAGCAGGUGUUAAUCCAUGCUGCAUCAAAUUGGUCACGGUAUUAUCUCCAAAAUCCACAAGUUCAAUUUUUUCGCUAGAUGAAAUACAUGAAUUCUUGGUAAAUGCCACUCUCUUAACGAAUGAGACACACAACUAGAGUUGAUGACCGUUUCGGUAAAUGUCGUGUGGAAGUUAAUCUCGAUAUUGUGUUUCUCUUGCUGUUUAUUUAUAGAGUGUACUUAGAAUGCUAGUUUCAAAUCUCAUGCUUAAAUCAAUAUCGGAAACUAAGAAAGAAAACACAUUGGAAGCAUACUUCUAAAUAUGACAGAAUUAUCUCAGGAAUGGCCCUUGAAGAGUAAUCUCGACCCUGAAGUGUACGGGCCAGCUGAAUCAGCCAUCACUACGGAGCUUGUAGAACAAGAAAUCGGAGGCUUCACGACAGUUGACGAGGCGAGAACUGAGCAGUUAAUUUAAGCUUGGUGUUAUUACUCUUCUUAUCCCGUUUUGUUUUCCCUUGUGCAGGCAUUGAAACAAAAGAAGCUUUUCAUCUUAGAUUACCAUGAUGUGUUCUUGCCAUAUGUGAACAAGGUAAGACAGCUCAAGGGGACAACUCUUUAUGGAUCGAGGACAUUGUUUUACUUAACACCUGCCGACACGUUGAGGCCGUUGGCUAUCGAGCUAACUCGACCACCAAUAGAUGGGAAGCCACAGUGGAAGCAGGUAUUCAAGCCAACUUGGGAUGCCACUGGUGUGUGGCUGUGGAGGCUCGCUAAAUCUCAUGUCCUGGCUCAUGACUCUGGUUAUCAUCAGUUAGUCAGUCACUGGUAAUUAUCCAUACGAUUCCAGCAAAUUAACGAUUAUAUAUAUUACGAUUGUUUAUUGGUAGUAAUGAACGAUCAUACUUAUUACUCAUAAUUAACGAAGUCAGAAAGAAGAAAAAAUUUAGGACAUCUUUACUACUUGGAUAGCGCAUGAAAGCAUCAAGUUUCGUUGAGAUUAGCCAAGACAUAGCAAAAUAAAUUUCUGGUAGAAUGUUACACUAAUAACGGAAACCCCAUAAUGUACUUAUACAAUCUCAAUCACUUCUUGGUUAUUUGCAGGUUGCGGACUCAUUGUUGCACAGAGCCUUACAUAAUCGCAACAAACAGGCAACUAAGUGCAAUGCACCCGAUUUACCGACUGUUGCAUCCUCAUUUGCGCUACACCAUGGAAAUUAACGCGUUGGCUCGUGAGGCCCUUAUUAACGCUAAUGGGAUCAUUGAGAGCUCAUUCUCCCCCGGCAAAUACUCCAUGGAACUGAGCUCUGUUGCCUAUGACAAGCUAUGGCAAUUCAACCUAGAGGGACUGCCAGCAGAUUUAAUCAGCAGGUAAACCAAUUAGAAAAUUAGGCGUUGUAAACAUCUUCGGAAAUGUAUAUAAGAUAUUCUUUUUAAUACCAGGGGCAUGGCUGUGGAGGAUCCAACUGCACCACACGGUCUGAAACUAACAAUCGAAGACUACCCUUAUGCCAAUGAUGGUUUGCUUCUAUGGGAUGCUAUUAAACAGUGGGUCGCUGAUUACGUCGCUUACUACUAUCAAGAACCGAGCCUCGUAGAGUCAGAUACCGAGCUCCAAGCAUGGUGGACAGAGAUUCGAACAGUAGGCCAUGGGGAUAAGAAGGACGAACCAUGGUGGCCGGAGCUGAAAACUCCGGACGAUUUGAUUGGAAUAUUGACGACUAUUAUAUGGGUAGCUUCGGGUCAUCAUGCUGCCGUAAACUUCGGCCAAUUUGAUUUCGGUGCAUACUUUCCGAACCGGCCUACAAUUGCUCGAACACAGAUGCCUACUGAAGAACCAAAGGACGAAGAAAGGAAACAAUUUAUGGAGAGGCCUGAUGAGUUCCUGCUAAAAUGCUUCCCUUCACAAGUUCAAGCUACAGUAGUUAUGGCGAUCAUCGAUGUACUGUCCAAUCACUCGCCCGACGAGGAGUAUAUCGGAGAGCAAAUUCAGCCGUAUUGGGCAGACGAUAGAGUUAUUAACGCUGCGUUCGAACGGUUUAAUGGACGGUUGAUGGAGAUUGAAGGGAUCAUUGAUGCUAGAAAUGCGGAUACGAAUUUGAAGAACAGGGCAGGGGCUGGAGUGGUGCCGUACGAGCUUCUGAAGCCGUAUUCGGAAGCUGGUGUCACCGGAAAAGGUGUCCCGAAUAGCAUCUCUAUUUAAUUCCCGCGCCACACAGUUUCAGUUCUACAGAAGUCGUGUUUCUGCAGUUGAGAAAAAUAAGGAAUAGUCGUGUUUUAAUUUAAAAUAAUACUGGUGGACUGCUAUUUAAUAAAGCGGGCUCAGGCCCAGCACAGAUAUAUUUCUCGCAGGCUCGGGCCAAGGUUUUGGGCCCAAUUUCUCAUACUUUACGAGAUUUUUUUUUAAAUUGUGAGUAAAAUAUUUUAAAUAAUAUAUCUAAAAUGGGUAAAUUACAACCACCCCUGAGGUAUGGUAAAAUUACGAAAAUCCACCUCUUGUUUGGGUAAUUACAACAAUCCCUUUCGACUAUAAAUUUUCAUACACAUCCACUCUUGUGGUUUUAAAUUUAGUGGGAUCUUCUAGAUUAUAUGAAAUAUUCUCAAUUUUGUACCCGUUUUAUCUCAUUUGAGCUCCACAUUUUAAAACAAAAUGAUCAUAAGAUGUGGUUUAUUUGACUUGUAUAUAUCAGAUUGUGGUGCAUCAUAAACUGUAUUUUUACACAAAACGAGUACAAACUAGAGCACAUCCCACAAAAUUUAGAUGAUUAUGUUGAAUUUGACACCAUAAGGGUGGAUGUGUAAAAAAAUUCAUAGUUGAUAGUUGAUGGGUAGAUAUAAUUAUCCAAAUAAGAGGGAUUUUUUUCGUAAUUUAAUACCUCAGGGUGGUUGUAAUUUACCUUCUAAACUUUAUUUUUUUACUAUUAUUGACUCUUACGUUUUGAUUUUUUUAUUUAUUUUUUAUUUUUUUAUUUAUGGAGGUUUUAUAUAUUAUCUAUAUAUAAAAAAUAAAAUUUGUCAUAUAUUGCACAACUGUCGGUGGUCCAAUUUUUAUUUUUAUUUUUUCUUAUGGUUUUAAGGAAGGGUCAAACAAUUUUUCAAGCACAAAAAAGUCGUGCAUUCAUAUUUUAAAGCACAUAAAAAAGGUGUUUUUAUAAAUCUUAAUUACUAACUUAUAUAGCAAGAGGAUUGAUUGGUUGGAAAUAACGUGUUGAUUUUUCAACGUGUGCAUAUGCAGCUGCCUCUUGCAUGGCUGCAUUAUAGUUGGAUAAAUGGGUAAAUUACGGCCACUCCCAUGAUAUAAAGUUAAAUUACGAAAAUACCAUCAUAUUUGAAUAAUUACACACCCCUUCAACUACGAAUUUUCUUACAUGCAUGUCCACCUUUACGGUGUCAAACUCAACAGAAUCUUCUAGGUUCCGUAGAAUGUUCUCUAGUAUAUACUCGUUUCGUAAAAAAUGCAGUUUAUGAUGCACCACAAUCUGAUGUUCACAAGCCAAGAGACACAUCUUAUGAUCAUCUUGUUUCUAAAUGUGGAGUUCGAAUGAGAUAAAACGGAUACAAACUAGAGAAUAUUCCACAAAAUCGAUUUAAUUUAGAAGAUAUAUAUAUUUCACAUACUAUGACACUGCAAGUGUGAACUUGUAAAAUAAUCUUAAUUAAGGGUAUGGUUGCAAUUAUCCAAACACGAACAAUUUAUUCGUAAUUCAACCUUACUACUUCAGGAGUGACUGUAAUUUAACCUAAAAAAUAAGGGUGUGCAAACCUUGCCCAUUAAUCCAUUAUUAGGUAACUCCUUGUUUGGAAUAUCCAGCCAAUUAGAUAUAUUACAUUAUACAUAUGUACCAAGUGCAUUAUUGCAUAUAAUGCAUACAAAUUAAUCAUGCAAGCCGUCAAUAUGGAUCGUAAAGAAUGCCACUAUAAUAUUAAAUAUAUACAUAUACUAGUCAAAUACACGCAUAUUAUACAUACAAGAAUCAUAUAUUCUUUACACUUGUAUAUAAAGGCCUCAAAUUAAAGUAUAUUUCUUCCAUCACCCAAUUAAAAAAAAAAAAGAUCCACAAACAAUAUGUUGAAGCACAAUUUAAACAAUUCCUACUAUACUAAUACUAAUACUAGCGUCCGAAAUCUACUUUUGGUGCCGAAGCCUUUCUUCUCCGGCGGAGGAAAUGCUUCAUCAGCCGUAAUUACUCGUAAAAACCCUAUUAUUAAUAUCAAGACAAGGAGGAAUCGGGUGGUGCUCAGGCGGCGAUCCGCCUCCACCGGAGUAAAAGCCGUAUUAACCGCUGAUGAGAAGUCAACAACCACCGUUAAGGCGGUGGUGACGGUGCUGCAGACGGUGGGCGGGGCCCUCACCCACCUCGGAUUGAGCCGCGGGAUUGACGAUAUAGUUGACGUGUUUGGCAAAACCCUUCUCGUUGAGCUUGUUGCUGCCGAGCUCGAUCCUAGUGAGUAUACUUAUACACAAAUAUAUAUAUAAUCUAUACAUACAUUAUAACCAUGUUCAUAUUAGGGCUUGCUUUGAUAUUACAUAUUGCAUGAAACUCCCUGAUUUAUAUGAUUCAUUAGCAGAUCGUAUAUUCAUAUCCAUGCUCUAUAAACUAUUUUUCAUUAUCAAAUCUCUCUCUCUCUCUCUCUCUCUCUCUCUCUCUCUCACACACACACACACACACACACUCUUUCUUUUUUUUGAGUUACACACAUAAUACUCAAGAAAGCACGAAAAUUAGAUCAUAAUCACAGCACUUUAUUAUAAUUUAAUAUCAAUAUAUGGUAAAAAAAAAAUUGAAUAUAUUCGCAAAAAAUAAAGAAAAAACAUUGCCCAACAAAUUAUAAUUAAUUUGCUGUACUACAUAAAGAUUUCGAGGAUAAGUGCCCACAUGAAUGUGUGGUCUCUAUAUAUAACUGCAGAUAACUGAAAAUCUAAAAAGAUAAUGACAUGUACUAUUUAGCAUAUUAUAAUGUUUUAUCAUAAAUAUCUUUAAUCAAAUUAUUAGUGUAUAAUUAAAAGCGCAAGUCUAGUAAUUAAUUAGUUGUAACAUUAAUUAAAACAAUAAUUCCAAAUCAUCUUUUAUUUAAAGUCCAAAU
rnacentral:lncRNA from 1 species